AGAUAAAAUUAAUAAUAUUUAACACAUAUGUUGAUGUGUCAAAAAAUGUCUGUGUUUUCGUCUUCUUUUUCUAAAAUUAAUUUAUUUUUUUAAAUAUCAAAACCCCUAAAUUUUCUUCAAAUUUAGCCAAAAUUGGGGGGAUCUCUUUAUUUAUUUUUAUGUUUUUUUCCUGAUUUUCCUUUUCUUCUUCCCAAUUUCCCUUUUUUUAUAUUUUCUCUUUUAUUUUUCUUGCCGCCGUUUACAGCUGUCGGAGCUCCGAUCGGGCACCAUCAGAACACUCCUCUCCACCAUCUCUCUUCAAAUUGUCGGUUAGUUUUCCAAGAAUCCGAUCCAAAUUUGAUGAAAAAAAGGCCAAAGCUUCGAUCUCUUUCUUUCUCCGAUCUCCCUUUUACACCGUCAGAUCACCCCCGGUCUCCGUAUGUGGUACAUCGUGCCGUGGUUCGCCUUACCACCGUUGGGAUCGUUGAACAGAGAUCCAGAGUUCCGAACCCGAACCCGAACCCGAACUCGAACAGAUAAGUCCUUUGACUUUCCUUUCUAUUUUUUACUUCUCUUUUUUUUGCUUGUUACUGAUUUUGGGUUAUUUAGUUUUGGUUACUGCUUUCGGUUAUUUGGUUUUGCUAGGUUUGGGAUGUUGAGUGGAGGUGAUGAGUGGGGCAAUGAUGGUGGUGCCCGAAUGGUGAGGUGAUGGAGGGUGCUGCUACGGUGGUACCGAGAUGGUUGAUUUUUAGAGGCUCAGUUUCGGUUGAGGGAGGGAGAGAAUGAUGAUCGGUGAUGGAGGGCCACUGGUGAUCCCCGAGAGAGGGGCCGGAGGUGAUGGAGAAAAAUGGGUAGGGUGGCUGGCAGAGGCAGGGAGUGGCCGAUGGGAUGGUGGCAAACGGGUAGGAUGGCUGGUGCAGGGUCUUAGGGACCAAAUUGCAAUGGUUGAAAAAGUUGACGGGUUUUGUG